ACUACUUAUUACUACUACUAAUUAAAUAGUUUAGUAAGGUUUUUAGACUAACUUAGAGAAAUAGGUAACUACUACUUAAAACUAGAAAGUUAUCUAAACUUAGUUAUUUAGAAGAAGUAAAAAUUAUAAUAAGGUUUCUAUUAGUAAACUAGCAGAAG
rnacentral:ncRNA from 1 species